GGGGGGGGGGGGGGGUCUUUAAUCGCUUUGUUAAUUUAUAUAUAUAGUUUACGUAAUACCAAACGGCGGAAUGCAUGCAGAUCUUAGCUCGUGGUAGCUGGGGAAGGGAAGCUAAUACGAUGGUUCUAAGCUUUGGAAUUGGUACUCGGGGGGCAUAUGUUAAAAUUGGAAGGUCGUUAGACUAGACUGAAAUAUUACUUGAGUCACGGAAAGAAAAGUUAGAAGAACAUUUUUUUCAUGGUCGUAAUAGUCUUAUGAGGCCUUGAGGUUCAUGGUCUUAGUAGCUUUAUUAGUCUUAUUAGGUAGGCAGUUAGUUCGGGGGUUCUGCCUUAUCAGUUUUAUUAUUUAGCCUCGGAGUCCUCAUCCUUAUUGGUUAGUCUGGGGUUCUGUUUUAUUAGCUUUAUUCCUUUGGUUUUAUUAUAUUAUUUUACGUUCUGGGGUACGGUAAAGCCUUGCAAUUAGGUCGUUAAGUAAGACUGAAAUAUGUACUUUAACUCGUGGUAAUAAACGUUAGAACAAUUUUAAUCAGAUUUCAAAAUACUACUUUACAUUUUACGAUAGGAUGCAAUGGUUCCUUUCAAAGCCUUGCAAUGUGGUCUUGAGAAUAAUGACUGAAAUAUUACCUGGCUCGUCGCUGUAAGAAAAGAAGUUCAUGCGUGUAAUGACUUUGAAGAUUACUGGAACUGUGGUAAAAGAAAAGUUCAAAGCUCAAUUUUGGUCCAUGUUCAUAUUCCUUCACGUUCUAUUUCAACCUUGUAAAUAUAACCUGAAUCGUCGUGGUAAAAAAAAAAAGUUAGCGAGAGUAAUGACUUAAAAUAUCACUUGAACCACGGUAGCAAAGUUCAAAGCACGUGUUCAUAUUCCUUCACGUUCCAUUUUAACUAUGUAAAAAAAAAAAAGUUAGCGAGAGAAAUCACUUAAAAUAUCACUUGAGCCGCGGUAAGCAAAGUUCAAAGCACAGUUUUAACCCGUGACCAUAUCCCUGCACGUUCUAUUUUAACCUUGUAAUAUAACCUUACUCGUCGUGGUAAAACAAAAAAAAAAAGUUAGCGAGGGUAAUGACUCAAAAUAUCACUGGAGUCGCGGUAAGUAAAUUAAGUUCAAGGCACGAUUUUAGUUCAUGUUGCUAUUCCUUCACGUUCUUUUUAACCUCGUAAUAUAACCUUAAUCGUCCUGGUAAAAAAAAAAAAAAAAAAAAAAAGUUAGCGAGGGUAAUGACUCAAAAUAUCACUUGAGUCGCGGUAAGCAAAGUUCGAAGAGUAGUUUUAGUUAAUUUUCAUGUUACUUCACGUUUUCACCCUUGCUAUAGUAUCGUGCGAACAACAACUGAAUAAAAUCUGAAUCGUCGUGUUAAGAAACGUUCGUGAGAGUAAUGACUUAAAAUAUCGCUGGCAUCAUAGGAAAAAACGUUCAAAGCACAAUUUUACUUCCUAUUCCUCUACGUUAUUUUUAGCCUUGUAAUAGAACCCGAAUCGUCGUGUUAAGAAACGUUCGUGAGAGUAAUGACUUAAAAUAUCGCUGGCAUCAUAGGAAAAAACGUUCAAAGCACAAUUUUACUCCAUGUUUAUAUUCCUCUGCGUUCUUUUUAGCCUUGUAAUAGAACCUGAAUCGUCGUGGUAUUAAAAAGAACUUGAUAGUACUGACCUAAAAUAUUACUGGACUCACGAGAAGCCAGGUUUAAAGAGCAGUUUUAAUUCCUUUUCAUAUUCCUCCACGUUCCGACAUCCGAGGUAUAGCAGGAUUGGCGUUCUUGAGUGACAACAUUUUCCUGGUAGCCGGCGGGUGACUGGCGCCGCGCUGGGCAGAGUUGUGAGUCAGGCGUGCGGCGGGCUGUAUGAUUAAUAGAUUAAGGCUCGGGAGGGCGCGCCAGUCAUGCUCCGAGGAUGUGCACGGCCCUACGGAUAGAUGUCCUCGAUUCUGGCUCCUGUAGGGAAUAUGGGACGUCUUAGGCCUGAGGUUCAUGGUCGUAGUAGUCUUGUGAGGCCUUGAGGUUCUUGGUUUUAGUAGCUUUAUUAGUGUUAUUAGGUAGGCAGCUAGGUCGGGGGUUCAAUCUUAUUAGCUUUUAGUUUUAUUAGUUAGAUUCGGGGUUCUCAUUCUAAUUGGUUAGUCUGAGGUUCUGUUUUAUUAGCUCUAAGUCUUAUUAGGCCGGGGUUGUCAUUCUUAUUUGCUUUAUUAGUCUUAUUAGGCCUAGGUUCUCGUUAUCAUUAGCUUUAUUAAUCUUUCUAGGGCGCGGGUUAUCAUUCUCAUUUGCUUCAUUAGUCUUAUUAGUCAUUUGGACAUGGUUUUAAGAGGGAAAAGAAAUCCUGCAUCGCUACAAAAGUAAAAUGCAUGGUCGUUAUUCUAGCAUGAAAUUUGGAAGGAAAAUUUUGGUUUUCUUUGUUGAUAUUUUUACCGUCUUAUGAUAAACUUUGUAACAAAGUCAGAAGGGUAAAAUAGUAACAGAUCAAAGUGGUUUAUUCUCAUCCACUGCAAUUCGAGAGACUACAAGGCCUAUGUUCUUAAUUAAACAUUUCGGCGCACACACACACACACACACAUUUUAUUAUCAGUCAUAUUAUUUUGUUCAUUUGUUUCAUUCAUCUCAUUAAAUCGUCCACUGAUGUAUAUUUUCAGCUCUAGGACUGCCUGGUUCUUACAGUAAACCGUUUAUUAUUAUUAUCAUUACACACACACACACACACACACACACACAAUUGAUAAGGCUUUGGUAGGAGCUUUGAUGGGUGGGGCAUUUCCAUAGGGGACAGUUUUAUGACCCUCGUGGUGGUAGAUCGACAAAGCUUCCAUAUAUGAUCAUGAACGUGAAAAAUACACUCAUGAGAAUCCGAUUGAUCUCCUUUUUGCCCUUUGGAAAUAGCUGAUGUAAGAGGCGGAAGCGUCCCAGAAUACCGAAUAUUGACCUACGAAACUCAACUAGUGAAUUAAACAAUGUAGGCUCCCCCUCCCUGCCUCACACUCGUUCCCAGCAGUAGCAUUCUUUAGUACCCCCUUGAAUAUUCUCACCGCAUUCCCUUGUUUGAGGAACCCUGUAUUAAGCCCAACGUUGCCAAAUUAUCGUACUCAUCGCAUUGCAUUUUCGUAGUUUCGGACCGAUAACUAUGGCAAAACGGAAAAAAAAAGCAUCAAUAAAUAACAGCUUUAACGCUAACUUUAAUUUUCUAUCGUUAUUUGUGCAGGUACGAGAGUUUGAGGCUUAAAAAUUAUCAAUAUAAUGUGGUGAAUACGAUAAUCUGGCGACGCUGAUUAAGCCGAGUGUGGGUUGUGAGUGGACAAUGCUGUGUGUGUUGUGUUGGGUAAGUCCCGUUUUUGCCCCGCCCUUCCCCAGCAGUAGCACUCUUUAGUACCCCCUUAAAUAUUCCCACCGCGUUCCCCUAGUUUGAGCAACCCUGUGUGGAGCUGAGUGGUCAAUGCUAUGUGUGUUGAGUGCGAGUCCCGUCCUUGGCUAGUGUGAUCAAAGAGUUACGUUGGGGAUAAUAAGAGGGUUGAGGCGAUGGAUGUUUUUAUCGUUGUUAGGUUUCAAAACACUUGAGACGGUGUGAUCGUUGCUGACUGUGUAUUAUGGCGGGGUUGUUGGGAUUGAGGCCCCGGAUGGUGUGUGAUCAUUGAGGAGUUGUGUUGUGCAUUGCAAGAGGAGGGUCAAUGCGAUGGUUCAGCUGUUAUUAUUGGUAGCGUUUAUUUAUAAGCGUUGAAGUGUUGUGAUUAGUGUUGUCUGUGUUGAUUGGGGUUAUUAUUAUUAUUAUUGUUUUUGCCGUAAAGACAGCAGCUCAAGGGCAAAAAAAAACAAAAACGUUAAUCACUGCUCCCAUAUAAAAGAGUUAAGAGGAGUUGUCGAAAGAGAGGUCAAUUUCGUGAGGAAAGGUGUUAUUGGGAUGAUGAUUAUUAUUAUUAUUAUUAUUAUUAUUAUUAUUAUUAUUAUUAUUAUUAUUAUUAUUAUUAUUAUUAUUGAAGCUCUGACUGGUUCGAUCAUUGAGUUGCGUUGUGCAUAAUAAAUGGACUGAGGUGAUGAUUCUUGUUCUUAUUGUUAGGUUUCAGAAGACUUGAGGUGUUGUAAUCAGUGCUGUCCAUUAUUGGGUUUGAGAUUCGUCCUUGGUGGGUGUGAUCAUUGUGUUACGUUGUGCAUAAUAAGAGGGUUGAGGUGUUAAUGCUUCUUCUUAUUGUUAGGAUUCAGAAAAAGUGUUGUGAUCAGUGAUGUCCAUUAUUGGUUACGAGGCCGUGGUUGGUGUGUUCAUGGAAUUCUCUCUCUUUUGGCAAUUCUUUACUUUUGUCUGUUGUGGGAGCGGUGAGUAGCGGGCUUUUUUUAUUCUACACUCUUUUUGUUGACCUUGAGCCGUCUCCUUUGUUGUUAAAAAAAAAGAGAAAAAAAGAGGGUCAGGGGAUGGAUCUUCUUGUUAGCAUUGAAGCCUAUUACGAAGUUGUCAUCGUUGCUGUGUUGGUGAGGCCAGAGUCAUAGGGCCGCUUUCAGUCACUUUGUUUUGAUCGUUACCAAUGGCGGCGAUCGACGCUAUAAUUUUCCACGUGAAAUCGGCCUAUGGGGUAGUGGCGGCUGCAGAAGAAGCGAGAGGUGUUGAGAGUGUGUGGUAAGGUGCGGGGCUAGACUAACCCCGCAGCCGCCACUACCCCAUCGGCCAGUUUUACAUGGAAAUACUAUAGCGGCGAUAACAGCCAUUGGUAACGAUUCAAACAAACAAAACGACUGUGAAAGCGGCCCAUAGAGUAGGAGGAGUUAGGCCAUCUUCAUCACAGGCACCAUGUUGUUAUCAAAAGGGCAGCGCGGAAUUCAAACUAAUACUGAUACAAUAAUGCUUUUUUUCUACUCUAUGGCUUUGGGCAAGGCUGAAGGCGAUGGCCGGAAUGGAUUAUCACAUAGGUAGAAGUCGAUUUUUUUAAUGAUUUUUCUUUUAUAUUUCAAAGGACAAGUUUAGGGGGUUGGCUGGCUUUUACGUAUAUACUUUUACUAUACUUUUAUGGCGUGUUAAAAUUUGUAUAUCCAUUAUUUGAACGUAUAACCAUAACACUGAGGAAGGGGAAGGAGGGGUGGGGGGGUCGAUCUUUACAUGAAAUAAAUCGUAACACUGAGGAAGGGGAAAGGGUGGUGAGGGCGACCUUUCUGUGAGAUAGACUUUGGAUGGGUAUAUACAGUAACCUCCUAGGCACAGUUAUAUGUACGUAGAGAGCGAUUCUUAAAGAGGAAAGCCUGGAGGUGAUGGGAUAACUUUUGUCUUGUGUUCAUCAACCUUCCCCUUCACUUCCCUUCAGUACCCGUCUCGUAAACUGCCCUUCCUUUCCCUUCACCCCUAUCUCUCCCUUUACUUACCUUCAAUACCCGUCUCGUAAACUGCCCUUCCUUUCCCUUCACCCCUAUCUCUCCCUUCACUUACCUGCCACCUAUACUUCCCUUCCCCUCACCCCGUUUAUCCUCCCCUCCCUCCUACUUUCCUUCAUCACCUGCCCCCCUUCCCUUUCCUUCAGACCUAAUUUUUCCCUCCCAUCUCCCUCCCUUCCCUUUCCUUCACUCCAUCUAUCCCUUUCCUCUUUCCUUCCCUCCCUUCUCCCUUCACGACCUGUCCCUUACCCAUUCCCUUCCCUCUAAACUUUCCCUCCCUUCACCCCUCUACCCCUUCCCUACCUCCCUACCUCGCGGGAACGACUGGUAUAAUAGCUUGAGUUGCGUUUAUGCUUUCAAAACCGAACUACACACACACGCACGCACCCAACACACACACCAUAUCCUCUCAAAGUUUCUCACCGACCACCUCUUUAAAUGAACUUCAACACAACACUCCAACAUCAGUCGUUUUGUAGAAUCAGUGCUAUAGCAGAUAUUUUCCAUUUUUUCCCCUCUUUAUCUGCCUCCUUAACUGUAAGAAUAAUGAAGUUUGGGGUGAUGGCUGGUGUGAUCAUUGCUUCCGUGCUGUGUUUGGGACCCCGAGGUGACGCUAGGAAUACUCAUCACUGCAUUGGAUUAGGUUACGAGGCUUGAUCACCGUUGCCAGAUUAUCGUACUCAAGAGCCGCGGAUUUACCAGUUUUUGGCCAAUAACUUGCCAAGAAGCACCAGUAAUUAACCAUUUAAACAAUAACCAUAUAUGAAUACAGUUAUUUGGGUGAUGAAAGCAGUUUUUGGGUCGGAUAUCGGCAAACACAAGAGGCAAAGUACGACAAUCUGGCAAUCUUCACGUAAUUGAGUGCUCUUUCGGCCACCUCUUCGGAUUCUUUACAGGCGCAGCGAGUAGCGGGCUUUUUUUAUUGUUUCCCUUUAUUGUGUCCUUGUGCUGUCUCCUUUACGGUAAAAAAGAAAAGAAAAAGAGUUGAGCCUGAUGUAUUUUUCUCCCUUAAGCUGCCUCCUUUACUGUAAGAGAGAGAGAGAGAGAGAGAGAGAGAGAGAGAUAUUGAUUGAUUUAAGAUGGUGGCUACAGAGGUCAUUGCGCCCGUGCUGUGAUUGAGAUCGCCGAGGUGAUGGUUGGAAUAAUCAUCAUCGUAAUUUCUGUGUUGUGUUGUGUUACGAGGCCUGAAGAUGUGAUGGCCGUUGUAAUCAUUGGUAACACUGAUCAUUUUGAAGUCAAGGUCGGGGAGGUGUAAUAAUCCUGGACUUAGUUGACUCGGUGGUAUUGUUGGUGUUAGCCUAUUAGUUUGAAGGCGAGGCAGUUCAAUUUCUGUGUUUUAAAAAGUGUAUUAUCGCUUAACCACAAAGGACUUAAUUGAUUCAGUGAUAUUGUUGGUGUUAGCCUAUUAGUUUGAAGGCGAGGCAUGGGUGGCAGUUCAUAUUUCUGUGUUUUAAAAAGUGUAUUGUCGCUUAACCACAAAGGAUGUAAUUGAUUCAGUGAUAUUGUUGGUGUUAGCCUAGUAGUUUGAAGGGGAGGCAGUUCAAUUUUCCUUGUUCAAAAAGUGUUGCCGCUUUAUGACUGUCGUAUAAUAUUUUAAUGACUAAAUAUCGUCACCUUCAUAAACAAACCGCCUAAGUCAUUAUUUUCUGCUUUACAGGAAAUCAGAAAAGAACUGUCAUUAUCUUAUUUGGCUUAAGAUUUAGGCAGAAAUGAAAAGCCCAAUUCUAGAACACUCAAACCCUGAAUGACGGAGGCAACUAUACAAAAAUGGGCGUCACGUGAUGAAAAAUUGAUGUAAAAAAAAACCUGAAAAUCACUGAAAAAUGACUUAGGCGAUUAUUUUAUGAGGGUGACGAUAUGGUGAUCUGAUGAGGUCCGUAUUUUAUGAGGGUGACGUUAUGGUGAUCUGAUGAGGUCCGUAUUUUAUGAGGGUGACGAUAUGGUGAUCUGAUGAGGUCCGUAUUUUAUGAGGGUGACGAUAUGGUGAUCUGAUGAGGUCCGUAUUUUAUGAGGGUGACGAUAUGGUGAUCUGAUGAGGUCCGUAUUUUAUGAGGGUGACGAUAUGGUAAUCUGGUGAGGUCCGUAUUUUAUGAGGGUGACGAUAUGGUGAUCUGAUGAGGUCCGUAUUCUCAGACGCUUUCGGCUCAAACAACAAUUAUUUCCAAGGCCCACAAAGGAGAUCAGUCGGGUUCUCAUGAGUGUUUUCCACAUUAACCCCUUGACUGCGGAUUUCCUACCAGAAGACCACCAAGCUAUACAGGAAUGGAACAAAAAGUGGCUGAUACAAUUCAAUGAAGAUGUAAAGUCCUGCACCUUGGGAGGGGAUAUCCAGCAUACCAAUACCACAUGGGAAACACACCACUAUCCACCACAGAGACAGAGAAAGACCUGGGACUGUAUGUGUUACCAGGCUACCAGUGAAGGCGAAAUCCGUGCCAAUCGCAGCGGACGGGUUAAUGGUACAGAAGCCAGCCAUGUCAACUAUCACUAGGCUGAUCUGAAAACUACCCGCCAUGGAAAUGCCUACUACUUCUACAAAAGCCUUAUCAAAUGAGGGUGUUCAGGCUCCGAAAUGUCUUCAGGGCCGUAAUUUCGGGGGGCAAUGGAGGUUAUAUCCCCCAAUGUUUUCUAUAUCGGCUUUAAAAUGACCCUUAACCUGGAAGCAGCAGGGAUCAUGUUUCUUAAUGGUCCCUCUAAGCGAGAAAAAUGAGAAAAAAACAUCACUCACGCGAACCAUUUCAUAAUAUAUAUCAAAGCAUUUGUGAUCAGUUUAUGCAUCAUCUAUUUUGGGGGGUUUAUAUCAUGGCAAAAAUGUGGCCCGUCGCUGCUACACGGUAAAGGCACAGAUUUGGCCCGUCGCUGCUACCGGGUUAAAAAGGAGCCUGACCUGACAACACCUGACACCUGGCCGUAAAAAUGACAGCUCGGGCGGAUUCACUUAAUUGGGGUGAUGUCGACUCCACCAAUUCCACCUCCAUGCCCCCAUCUAUGCGUACAAACCCCACGUAUCCUAUUCACUGUAGCCUGGCUUUUGCGGUCAUCAUAAGCCUCAUUGUCUUCACUGCACCAUUUUUAGCUCAUUGAUUGGAGGUAUAACGCGUAUAUCGAUCGAUGCUCUAAUUUUAAGUAAACAAAGAGCAUCAGACGAUCAGGAGAGCUGUUGAGAUCGAGCCAGUGAUCUGAAGAGAGGAUGUUGUUUUUGUGGAGGAGCUUGAUGGAAAAAAGAGGAUGUUUUGGGAGAAGCUCAGUGUAAAUAGAGGAUGUUUAUAGAUGAGCUUAGUGGAAAAAAAAAGGAUGUUUAUGAAGGAGCUCGGUGCAAAGAGAGGAUGUUUAUGGAGGAGCUUGGUGGAUAAAGAGAGGAUGUUUAUGGAGGAGCUUGGUGGAUAAAGAGAGGAUGUUUUUGUGGAGGAGUUUGAUGGUAAAAUUUGAUCCGGAUGGUGAUUUAAGGAAGAAAGGCUGAAAAUUAUUGGACUUUGUAAACGAUAAUAAGCAUAGGAUUUUGACACGAAUUAUAAAACACGAAAAAUAUAGAAAAAAAGGAGAAUGGUGAUUUUUUUAACAGAACUAGUAGAAUGACUUUGAUCCGGUUGAUGAUUUAAGGAAGAAAGCAUGAAAAUUAUUGGACUUUGUAAACGAUAAUAAGCAUAGGAUUUUGACACGAAUUACAAAACACGAAAAAUAUGGAAAAAAAAGAGAAUGGUGAUUUUUUUAACAGAACUAGUAGAAUGACUUUGAUUCGGUUGAUGAUUUAAGGAAGAAAGCAUGAAAAUUAUUGGACUUUGUAAACGAUAAUAAGUAUAGGAUUUUGACACGAAUUACAAAACACGAAAAAUAUGGAAAAAAAAGGAGAAUGGUGAUUUUUUUAACAGAACUAGUAGAAUGACUUUGAUCCGGUUGAUGAUUUAAGGAAGAAAGCAUGAAAACUAUUGGACUUUGUAAACGAUAAUAAGUAUAGGAUUUUGACAUUAAUUAUAAAACACGAAAAAAUAAGAAAUAUAAAUGAGAAUGCUGUGAUUUUUUAACAUAACUGGCAGGAUGAGUUUGAUCCGGUCGGUGAUUUAAGGAAGAAAGUAUAAAAAUUAGAAAGCAUAAAAACUACGUAAGCAAUAAUGAGUUUGUGAGUGUGUCUGACAUGGUAGCCUACUCGCUUCGGACUAUAAAUAGACCAAAAAUGUUAAUUAAAAUCCACAACAACAGCGAGUAGGAAAAAAUGUCUUGGUAAGGGACUGUAAUGAGCUAAUGAUAAGGUUGGAUUUAAUCUGUUCCCUGAUAGUAGAAGAUAGGCUCUGAUCCUCUCAAAUUAUUACAAAAGUUUACGUGGAGGAGGAAAACCUAAAGCCCGUAUUCUUAAACAUUUCGCUGCCCAAGUAUUAAAAGGAGAUAUUUUGGACUAACUUCCCAUAGCCUACCACGCGAUAUAUACUGACAAGCCCGGGCCUUUUCUCAAAUAUUGCGUUGCUGCCUUACACAUUACACCCACCCACAUUGGACAAGCCUUUCGUAGGAGUUUGGGGUAUUUCCAGGGGUAGUUAUAUGGCCCUGCUGGUAGUCUGACCUUUCUUCCGUACCGUAAACCUGAAAAAACACUCAUAAGAAUCGGAUUAAUCUCCUUCUCGACCUAAGGAAAGCGUUGAUGUGAGAAAAGAGCGUUUAACCCUUUGACUGCGGAUUUCCUAUAAAAAGACCUCACCAAGCUACAGGAAUGGAACAAAAAGUGGCUGCUACAUUUUAGUGAAGAAAAAUAUAGAGUCAUGCACCUUGGGAGGGGAAAUCCAGCAUACCAGUACCACAUGGGAAACAUUCCACUAUCCACCACAGAGGCAGAGAAAGCCCUGGGAGCAUAUGUUUCCAGGCUACCGGUGAGGGCCAAAUUCGUACCAAUCGCAGCGGAUGGAUUAAGAAUACCGACAUAAAGCCCUUCUCCUUAAACCCACAAGUGACAAGGCUUUCGUAGAGGUUGUGUUAGUAGUAUUUCCAUGGUGGGUAGUUGUAUGACCCUGGUGGUAAUUUGACAAGGAUUCUGUUUAUGUGAACGUUGGAAAAACACUUAAAGAGAACUCAACGUAUUCUCAAACAUUUCGUGCAUGGCUUACACAACACAUCCACAAGUGACAAGGCUUUCGUAGAGGUUGCGUUAGUAUUUGCUUGGUGGGUAGUUUUAUGACCCUGGCGGUAGUUUGGCAAGGAUUCUGCACUAUGAACGUGAAAAAAAAACAUGGGAAUCCGACUCUGAUCUCCUUUGUGGCAUCUGGAAAUAUUUGUAGGUAUUGCUAAGAGUAGUUUUAUGAGUCUAGUGAUAGUUUAACAAGGCUUCUGUAACCAUGAACAUGAAAAAGCGCUCAUGAGAACCCGACUGUCUCCUUUGUGGCAUCUAGAAAUAGUUGUGGGUAUUGCUAAGAGUAGUUUUAUGAGUCUAGUGAUAGUUUAACAAGGCUUCUGUAACCAUGAACAUGAAAAAGCGAGAACCCGACUGACCUUCGUGACCUUUGGAAAUAGUUGAUGUGAGGAACCGGAAGCUUUUGAGAGAAUACGGACCGAGAGAAAAUGUUUAAAGGGUAGCGACUGAGGAGAAUAAAUUUAAGCCGAAAAGUAUCUAAUGCAGAGACUAUAUAGUUAAAGAUUCUUCGGGGAGUUCGACGUUUAUGGACAGGAAAGGGAUGAUAAAGACUAAGCCUAAAACUCCAUAAACGGUGAUGUAGCCUCUUCAAAUGUCAACCACGCCCCCUCCUUAAAAUAGCAUGCCAGCUCCCUUUUAAAUAAUAACCCUACCUCCCCUUUUUGUGGUUACCUCGCCCCCCCCCCCCCCUUCUCGAAAGACAACUGAUCCCCUUAGAAAUGGUAAUGUAGCCCCCUAUUAAAAUGGUAACCUAACCCCUAACUAGCUCCUCUUGAAAGGUAACAUAGCCCCCCACUGAAAUGAUUUAAAGUCCCGUAGUUCGUAAUCCAGCCCCCCAUUUCAGGAUAAACCCGCCCCCCCCCCCCCCCACCCCCACCCCGCCCACCACCACCACCACCAUUAAUUUUAACCCUGGCCUCUUCACAUUGUAAUUUAGUCCCUUAAAAUGUAAACAGCCCCUUUAAAUAGUGUUAUAACCCCCUAAAGUGAUAUCAUAGCCCCCUUGAAAAAGUAACCCAGACCCCUUAAUAGGAACCCAGACCCCUUAAAUAGUAACCCAGACCCAAUAAACAGUAACCCAGGCCCUCAAAAACUUGUAACUCAGACCCAUUAAUAGUAACCCAGACCCCUUAAUAGUAUCCCAGACCCUUUAAUAGUAACCCAGACCCCUUAAAUAGUAACCCAGACCCAAUGAACAGUAACCCAGACCCCCCCCAAAAAAAAUUGUAACCCAGCACCUCUCAUAGUAACCCGGACCCAGUAAACAGUAACCCAGACCCCCCAAAAAAAAUUUAACCCAGACCCCAUUUAAAAAGUAACCCCACACCUCUUAUAGUAACCCAGACCCAGUAAACAG